rnacentral:piRNA from 1 species
UGAUUCGCAUCCCAGGACUCUC